rnacentral:misc_RNA from 1 species
CUGCGAGUUCGCGGGAGAGUAAGUUAUUGCCAGGGUUUUUAUUUUAUACUUUAAACAUUGAUUUUAUUUUUUAUGUUUUUAGAUGUUCAUGUUUUUGAAUGUUUUAUUUAAAUAAUAUAAAAAAUAAAAUAUAUAUUGACAUGGAUUAAACAAAGAUAUAUAUUAUUCUAUGUUGCAUAAGCAAAUUGGCAAAAUAGAGAUGGAAGAUAAAAAUAUGGCCAAAGAC